CAUGCGAGUCAGGUGUAGCAUACCACUGGCGCACGGGUGAGUAACGCGUAUGAUAAUCUGCCCUUAUCCCGGAAUGCGGCGAGAAAUUGGUGCUAGAACGGAUGAGGCACAAUGUGUCAGAUGCAAAGGAUAAGGAUGAGUCUGCGUCUGAUUAGCUAGUUGGUAAGGUAAUGGCUUACCAAGGCUACGAUCAGUAGCUGGUCUGAGAGGACGAUCAGCCACACUGGAACUGAGACACGGUCCAGACUCCUACGGGAGGCAGCAGUGAGGAAUUUUGCACAAUGGAGGAAACUCUGAUGCAGCGACGCCGUGUGAGGGACGAAAGGGCUUUGCCCUGUAAACCUCUGUCGGACGGGAAAAAAAGUCUGGUCACCGGACUGGGAUUGUACCGUCAAAGGAAGGGUCGGCUAACUACGUGCCAGCAGCCGCGGUAAUACGUAAGACCCAAGCGUUGUCCGGAUUUACUGGGUGUAAAGGGUGCGCACGCGGAACUGUGCGUCGAGGGUUAAAGACCUAGCUCAACCUAGGGAAUGCCCUCGAUACGGCAGAUCUUGAGUGCGAGAGAGGAUAGUGGAAUUCCUGGUGUAGCGGUGAAAUGC
rnacentral:rRNA from 1 species